CAGGCUGGGAAAGAAAGCUGCAGAAUGCAGUGUACAGAGAGCUACAUGUCCAGUUGCCCCUGAGCCAUCCGCGGCUCCUCCAGAGCAUCUCAAAGAGCCGCUGGCCUACAUGCGCAAGGCACAGGCCAGCUGGGAGACGCGUCCUCAAAAGCCUGACAGCAUGAGCACAGAGCUCGAAGUGCCUCUGGCUCGCAUGGUAACUAAAAUAUUAUAUAUCACAGCUAACAUAGCAUAAUUAAAACAACAUCUUCUUCAUUACAGUGCAUUUUUUUGGUCAUAUUUAAAAUAUUGUUCUGUUUUUUGUUGUCAUGGCUAAGUUUGACAAUAGCCAGUUAAGCCCAGUUAAGCCCUAUUCAUUAGAAUGAUUCUGCAGCUGCAGACUGAUAUUAAGCAGGCUAUGCUGUUUUAGUAUCUGUUUUAUUAUUUGUCUCUGUGUGUACAAAUUGCUAAUCCAUGACCAGAUUUCCAUUUCCGAUGUGACGUCUUCAAGCUGUUUAAUCUGUCCGCCUUGUUGAAACCAUCUCU